ensembl:lncRNA
AGCAGCGGCUCAGGGGCGGAAGCACUGAGCUCAUCCUUGUUGAGCAGCACAGAACACGAAGAAGAAGAAGAAGAAGGAAAGAAGAAGAAGAAGAAGAAGAAGAACCCUCAUUAGUCUCAGGUGAGAGCGUUGUCGACGCCUCCAGCUCUUUGUGGAGCCUUAACGUGUGGACUUCUACGUGGAAUGGUUUGUUGGUUGUCGUCUUCUGCUCAGGCCCGCGUUUCUCCACCUCCUCCGUCUAAAGGCAAGAACACCUGGGGGCGCUGGGGAGCAUCUGCCGGAGCCGAGCCGAGGACGAGAGGCUGCUGCUACAACCUGCCUGCCGGCCUGUGUCAGCCUCUGCCGGUAAACAGCGCACCGCUUCAGAUGCCACCGCGUUCCUGCCCCGAGCAACAGCGAGUGCCCAGUUGUGUGUCGGCGCCUGUGGUGGUGGCUGGAAAACGAGGCGGUGAGGAAAUCACGCAUGGACAGCGUGUGCGCGUGUGUGUUUAUUUAGAGGCCAAGGACCUUUUGGAGGACGGGGGCAUCGAGAGCUUCCCCAGCAGCUGGAUCCUGUCUGUAGCACUUUGCAGAAGUAUUCUCCACUCGUGACCUUUGGCACAUUUUGUUGUGCAAUCAGGCUGUUUCAAAAUGCACUUUUUCAGGACUUUUGUUCAAAACAAGGUUGAAACAAAGAAGAAAACAUCCCAACGCUGCUACAUAAUGUCCUGCCACAUUGGAAAGCAGUACAUUAGUUAUAAUAUGUAUUUUUAUUGAGAUAUUUGACAUGUGUUGGUGUCUUUCAGCUUUAAUACAGGUCAUUAAAAAGUUACCAGUUAAUUCAAUCAGUGAUUUAUCCAAAUGUUUUGCUAUCUGAAUGUUUGAGGCUGAACACAAGCAGUCCAUAAAAACAAACCUGGAGUGUAUUUACAAUUGACCGAAAAUAAUCACUUGUCCACGGCUGCCCAGGGUUGUUGGUUCAACUCCCAGUUGCUCCUUGCUACGUGUUGAGGUGUCCUUGAACACGGCACGUUUAGCACGGCUGACUUUCAAACAAAUGCAAAGACAGCUGUUCAGAUACCACGUGUUCCAAACGACAUCAAACACACGCUGUUGUUGUUGUAGUUGUUUCCAAUGUCGAAAUUUACAGUUUUGACCGAAGUCAGUCUGGACAAAAACGUGGACGUGAACCUUUUUAUUGGUGGCAUCACAUAAACUACUGAUCAACCUGACCUUGUCUGCUGCAAGACAGAGAUGUGCUCUGUUAGUAUAACUCUGCCAAACGUCACAGUCUGAGGCCUUGAUGAGAGAGAGAGAGACACACACACACACACACACACACACACACACACACACACACACACACACACACACACACACACACACACACACACACACACACACACACACACACACCACCAUGACUUACAGCCCAGUUCCUUUUAUUCCCUCCACUGUAGGAAAGCUGUUAUUAUGAAGACCUUCAAUCCUUUUCUUCUUUGUCCUCUCGCUGAGACUCGCAGCAGCUCUGUAACUCACACUGAUGUCAAAACAAACACACAGAUAAACAGCCGAAAGCAAACACACACGUACACAAAAUCAACAAAGACAU